rnacentral:tRNA from 1 species
GUGGGUAUAGCUUAGUGGUAGAGCACAUACUUAGCAUGCAUGAGGUCAUAGGUUUGAUCCCCAGUCCCUCCA